rnacentral:rRNA from 1 species
CAAGGCUUGACAUACACCGGAAAGCAUCAGAGAUGGUGCCCCCCUUGUGGUCGGUGUACAGGUGGUGCAUGGCUGUCGUCAGCUCGUGUCGUGAGAUGUUGGGUUAAGUCCCGCAACGAGCGCAACCCUUGUUCUGUGUUGCCAGCAUGCCCUUCGGGGUGAUGGGGACUCACAGGAGACUGCCGGGGUCAACUCGGAGGAAGGUGGGGACGACGUCAAGUCAUCAUGCCCCUUAUGUCUUGGGCUGCACACGUGCUACAAUGGCCGGUACAAAGAGCUGCGAUGCCGUGAGGCGGAGCGAAUCUCAAAAAGCCGGUCUCAGUUCGGAUUGGGGUCUGCAACUCGACCCCAUGAAGUCGGAGUUGCUAGUAAUCGCAGAUCAGCAUUGCUGCGGUGAAUA